rnacentral:rRNA from 1 species
GUGCAGCCACCUAACAUUGAACCUUACGUUCUGCCAAGACUAGAGAUGCGCUAUGAAACUUUCGAAGAAGCAAAGAACUUCUACAACGUCUAUGCGAAGCACGCGGGUUUUGCUGUCAAGGAGGGCCCCAAGUUUAAGACCAGAGCCUACAUUUAUUGCACGUGGUAUGGAGUCUAUGAAUCAAAGGUGUCUGAAGUAGAUAGACAGCGGAACAAGACGACAGCCAGGACUAACCGCGGGGCUAAAAUGAGGCUGAAGAAGGAAAAGGAUGGAACAUUUGUCGUAAACAGAGUCUGGGAACACAACCACAUGCUACAGCUCACUCCGCAAAUGCUUGUCUUCUUGCACUCCCACAAAAACUUUGACAAAACAAUCUUGGAAUACGUCAAGUACCUGCAGUUCAAAGGCAUUGAACACGUGCAAAUCAUGAGCAUACUGGGUGGUGAUGACCCUGGUAGCUACUUCCUCGAAAUGAAUGCCAAAGACCUGAUUAACCUGAAAGCAAAGAAUUCAUGGAUGGAUGAUGUGGACGAUGUCCUAAAGACUGUCAGCUUCUUUAGGGAGAUGAAAUCUAUAAACAGGGAAUUCUUCUGUGACAUGCAACUCGAUGAGUCCGACAGAGUUAAGAACAUAUUCUGGGCGAACGCAAGCUGCCGAGGGGCCUAUCAGGACUUUGGUGACUGCGUAACAUUUGACACCACAUAUAAGACCUAGAAGUACCAUAUGCCACUUGGGGUGUUUGUCGGUACUAACAACCACUUACAGACUACAUUCUUUGGUUUCGCCCUGAUAAGAGACGAGGAUGCAGAUUCAUUCAGAUGGCUGUUCAAGACAUUUUUAAGGUGCAUGAGAGGGAAGGCUCCUACAUGCAUCCUCACAGACCAGUGCCUGGCAAUGUCUUCAGCGACCCCAGAUGCUUUCAAGAACACAGUACACAAGCUGUGCCGCUGGCACAUUAGGAAGAAGUACAAGGAACACCUCGCAUACCUGUACUACCUGCACAAAGACUUUAAGGAUGAAUUCACAUCAACCCUCAACUGGCCCCUCAUGCCAACUGAGUUCGAGGAUGCCUGGAAAGGACUCGUGGAUAGGUACAACCUCCAUGAUGAUGCCACGAUGGUGGCCAUGUGGAACGAGCGUGAGAAAUGGAUAUCAGCCUACUUCAAAGAAAUUUUCUGCGCCAAAAUGACAUCGACACAACGAAGUGAGAGCAUGAACUAUGUGCUCAAGAAGAACUUUGUAAGUGAGAGAAAAAACCUACACCGAUUUGUCAGCCAGGUAAACUCCUGCGUCAAAACCAGGAGGUAG